UUCCUCCUGGUCAUUGUUGUUGUCUAUGUGAAUCAUCUCCUUGAUGAAGGUCAGAUCCUCAGAUGGGAUCAGGCCAUACUUCCUCAUCUCACCAUCCAGCUUAUUACUUUUCACCAGGUGUUCAAACAUGUCCAGAGAAGCCCUUUCAUGCUGCAACAGAAACAGACUCAUUAAUAUAUUAAUACCAGAAUUCAAAGUGAGAACAGGAACAAAUCAAAUAUGAUUCACUUUCAGUGAGGUCCCAGAAUCACUCGGCUCCAGUAGCUAGCCAUGCUUUUGCUAGCUAGCUAACUCAUGAAUCUCGCUCUGUGUCACUAAAAGUUGAAGCUUUAUUGACAGGUGAAUGUCAUGAUAUUGUUGGUUGAAAUCAGUUAGUUCAUACUUAUCAAGCAUGUGUCACAUUUUGUUUUACAGUAAGAAACGAUGAUUUUGGCAUGUAGUCUUAAAUAGGGGUACAAUAUAACGGAGGAUGCAUACUUAAAGGGUUAAAAUGACAUUUUUCAUCUCACCUGGUCUUUAUGUUUUCAAAGUAAGGGGACUGCAACAAAUUCUACACAUUAAGAUCAGUUCACUAGUCACAGUUAGUGCUACUCAGCCUAUGUCUACUGUUUCUCUCCUGUCUGAGAAAAUAACCAUGAAGAUGUCCGUACCUAAAGAGACUGCAUUAUGCCAUUAUUAUCCAUUAUGCCUGAGAUGAAAUCAGAUGAUUUGUUUUUUUAAACCGUAUCUCAGUGUUCAGUUGGGCUCACAAAUAAAUGAUCCGCCAUUAUGUUGGCUUUUUUGCUUGCAGCUUAACAACUAAGCACUGACUUGUUGUUUGUGUCUUUGCUAAUUAGUUACCAUUUAUAUCUAACUGAUUUGCUUCCUUAAUGCAGCUCGUGACUGUGUUUUCCUUUGUCAUGUUAUAUGUCAUGAACAACAGAAAUAAUUGUUUCUUACCUUCCACUCCUUGCCUGGACGUGCUCUAGGGAUGAACAUUGCAUCAAACAGAUGGGAAAAUGGCCCAUGUCCUAGAUAUGGAGAAAUAAAUUGAAGUUAAUCUAAAGUCAUGCUACAGUUUGGAGGAUCAUCUCCCGCAACCAGCAGGAUCAACAACCACACCUCCUCACUGUUAGGCGUCAGAAGAACUGGAUUGACAGCUUCUACAUCACCAUGGAUAAGCAUCUCAUCUCAUGCCAGGCAAACCACUUGUCACAGUUGAUGCUGUGACACUUGGGGGUGUGUUCCUUGUUUUCUGUUUCUCCUGUGGUUCUGUCUGUGGGUGUGUGUUAUGCCUGGCAGUGAGCUGAUCACCUGGUGGAGUUGCACACCUGCUGGCAAUUCUCAUCAGUGCCUGGCCUUAAGAAGUGGGGUUACCUGAGACUCGUCGCCAGAUUAUUCCUUACCCAUGAUUCCUGCACCUGGAGUGUUUUGUGUUGCCUGGAGGAUCUUUUGGAGCGCUGGUUGCCACUGUUCAGGACCUGCCUGCCCCUGCUCUCACCUUGCCCUUUUCAAGCACAGUUCCACUUCUACUCAGUUCUUUGUGAAUAAAACCCUUGACCUCAA